CCUACGGGUGGCUGCAGUGAGGAAUAUUGGUCAAUGGACGCAAGCCUGAACCAGCCAUGCCGCGUGCAGGAAGACGGCUCUAUGAGUUGUAAACUGCUUUUGUACGAGGGUAAAUCCCGAUACGUGUAUCGGGUUGAAAGUAUCGUACGAAUAAGGAUCGGCUAACUUCGUGCCAGCAGCAGCGGUAAUACGGAGGAUUCAAGCGUUAUCCGGAUUUAUUGGGUUUAAAGGGGGUGUAGGUGGUUCGAUAAGUCAGGGGUGAAAUCCUGGGGCUCAACUCCGGCACUGCCUCUGAUACUGGCGGGCUAGAGGUGAGUUGAGGUAGGCGGAAUGUAUGGUGUAGCGGUGGAAUG
rnacentral:rRNA from 1 species